GCUAUAGCUUACAUAGCUAAAAUAAACAGCAUGUUGUUUUUUUGGCUUUUUUUUUCAGCAUAAAGCAGUGCUGUGAACAAGCAAGGAAAAUAAGUGAAAGGGGAGGAAGUACUUCAGCCUGAGGAGAGCAUUCUAGGGAGCUGCAAGCAUGCACAGACUUUUCGAGAGGCUCAGGAACUUCAUAUUUAUAGAGCAUUCUCAGCUGUGGUGAUAUCUACUUCGCAG
rnacentral:lncRNA from 1 species